UACAGAGGUCUCAAGCGUUGUUCGGAUUCAUUGGCGUAAAGGGUGUGUAGGUGGCGCCGUAAGUCGGGUGUGAAAUUCGGAGCUUAACUCCGAAACUGCAUUCGAUACUGCGGUGCUUGAGGACUGGAGAGGAGACUGGAAUUCAUGGUGUAGCAGUGAAAUGCGUAGAGAUCAUGAGGAAGACCAGUGGCGAAGGCGGGUCUCUGGACAGUUCCUGACACUGAGGCACGAAGGCCAGGGGAGCAAACGGG
rnacentral:rRNA from 1 species